rnacentral:tRNA from 1 species
AUCUCGGUAGUGUAAUGGAUAAAAGCACGGGGCCGAAUAGCACAAGUACGGGUUCGAGUCCCGUCCGAGGCA